AGUGAACGCUAGCGGUAGGCCUAACACAUGCAAGUCGAACGGCAGCACAGGAGAGCUUGCUCUCUGGGUGGCGAGUGGCGGACGGGUGAGGAAUACAUCGGAAUCUACUCUGUCGUGGGGGAUAACGUAGGGAAACUUACGCUAAUACCGCAUACGACCUACGGGUGAAAGCAGGGGACCUUCGGGCCUUGCGCGAUUGAAUGAGCCGAUGUCGGAUUAGCUAGUUGGCGGGGUAAAGGCCCACCAAGGCGACGAUCCGUAGCGGGUCUGAGAGGAUGAUCAGCCACACUGGAACUGAGACACGGUCCAGACUCCUACGGGAGGCAGCAGUGGGGAAUAUUGGACAAUGGGCGCAAGCCUGAUCCAGCCAUACCGCGUGGGUGAAGAAGGCCUUCGGGUUGUAAAGCCCUUUUGUUGGGAAAGAAAUCCAGCUGGCUAAUACCCGGUUGGGAUGACGGUACCCAAAGAAUAAGCACCGGCUAACUUCGUGCCAGCAGCCGCGGUAA
rnacentral:rRNA from 1 species